rnacentral:lncRNA from 1 species
CAACUGGCUCUCCACACUGGUCUUACAGCCUACCGGGAACAUCUCUUACAAAGGCUUGUGCAAUGCCGUUUCUUCCCAGACCUGAUCUCGGUGAAGUAGAAAUUCUGCCCUGCCAUGUCCUACAUUGCCCUAGAGGUGCAAGGUACAAUGUCCUGCAUUGGUUCCUCAACAGGAGACAGGCCAUAAAACGUGUUGCUUACAACUCUUUGGGAAGCUAAGAAACAACACGCUCCCAGCAGUGCUCUUACGGCCUGCUGGGAACAUCUCUCACAAAUCCUGUGAAAAGCAGUUUCUUCCCAUCCCUGAUCUCGUUGAAGUAGAACUUCUGUUCUGCUGUGUAAUACAUUGGCCUAGAAGUGGAAGUCACAAAGCCCUGCAUGGCUUCCUUAAGAGGAGUCAGGCCACAGACCGUCUUGCUUCCAGCUCUUUCGAAAGGUGAGAAAGAACUCUCUUUCCCGUGGGCUCUUACAGCCUAUCAGGAACUCCUGAUACAAAGACGUGAAAUGCAGUUUGUUUCCAGCCCAGUUCUCACCGUCUUGGAACUUCUACUCAAAGCCAUGUCCUACAUUGCUCUAGAGGUGGAAGUGACAAAGCUAUGUGUCAUUGCCUCCAAAGGAGACAAGCCACAAACGGUCGUGCUGCCAGCUCUGGGAAGCUACGAAACAACUGGCUCUCCAUAGUGCUCUUAUAUCUACUGGGAACAUAUCUCACAAGGCCUGUGAAGUGCAGUUUCUUUCCAGCCCUGAUAUCGCUGAAGUGGAACUUCUGCUCUGCCGUGUCCUACAUUGCCCUAGACAUGAAAGGCACAAUUUCCUGCCAUGUUUCCUCAAGGGAAGGCAGGCCACAAAGCGUCUUGCUUCCACUCUCUGGGAAGCUAAGAAACAUCUCGCUCUCCACAGUGCUCUUACAGCAUACCGGGAAGAUCUCUUACAAAGGCCUGUGAAACGCAGGUUCUUUGCAGGACUGAUCUGGCUGAAGUAGACCUUCUGCUCUGUGUGUGCUACAUCGCCCUAGAGCUGAAAGGCACAACGUCCUGCCUUGUUUCCAAAGGAGGAUAUG